AACACUUCUCAACAGCAAAGGCACCUUACCAUCCUUAUGCGUUUUUACACUGCAUUCGGGUCUCCUUGAAUCACUGUAGCAUCACGAAGCGUCGAAAUCCUAUUGGCCUUCCCACCACUUCUCCAGCAACACGCAACGUUAUAUCAUCCUUGCAUCCUUCGCCUUUGCAUUUUUUACUUCUUUUCAAUGUGCAUUGGUACUCUUGAGUAGUGCAGUUAUUUUACUUUUUGUUGUUAUCAUCAUGUGCUUUACUGGUCGUGGUGUUUAUGUUUAGUGUUAUUUUUGAUAACUUUUAAAGUGUUUUUUGAUCAGAUUUUUAAUUGACUUUUUUUUCGCUGACUGAUUGUUCAGUGUUGGACGUUCAUCUCCAUCUUGCUGAAUUAAUUUUACGUUUAUUUUUAUCCUAUUGGAGUGUUUUUUUGAAAUCGUGUUAUCUUAAAAAGUCAUGAUGUUUUAUGAAUCACCGGCCGCGCAGCAAGUGUUGGACCUUUCCAAAAACUCGAAAAUAAAAACAGAAGACCCAUUACAGGAUAUUAAAUUACCCUACCACUUAUGGAACGAAGAUCGAUUCGGCCUUAAUAUGUCCCACUCGCCAAAACGUGAACAAGAGACAUCGGACGAAUGCAGCAGAUCCUUCAGUAGCACCAGUGAAAACAAGUCUAUCGGAUGCGGUAGCCCAGAAUCAUCUUCCGAAUCUAUGGAACCCUAUACGAGACCUGCCAGAAGACGAUCUUCGCGAGUAGAAAUUAAAGAUGAGACAUACCUGGAACGUCGUAGAAAAAACAACUUGGCAGCCAAAAAAUCACGCGAUGCUAAACGAGAACGCGAAAGAUUGACCAAAAAGAAGAUUAUUAUAUUAGAAGAAGAAAAUAAAAAAUUAAAAAUGGCGCUCAGCCAAUGCGCUUGUGGCGGUGCUUUGAAAAACUCGGCUGUUUUCCUCCCAAAUCCGUACAAUUUCCCGAUUCCAUUCGCAGAACCUCGCUUCAUUCCGGUCCGCGCAGAAUUGCGAAGUUGAAAAAAGUCAAAUGCUGUGUUAGUCAAUUCUCAACAAUCGAACGCCAUUUUGGAUUUAAAGAGUCAAUACACGUCAAUACGCUGGUAACAUCUUAUCCUAGGAGACUAUGGUUUGUGAUUUUGAGAAUCAGGGGAGGAGGGAGGUUUUUUUAUAGUGCAAUUGAAUGUUGAUUUUUUUUUAAAUCGGUGAAUUUAAUUACGUUUUUUUUUUACUACGGUUAAAAACUCGCACUAUUGUACAUAGGUAGAUCUGGUUUUGAACACUAACAAAUAUAAGCUAUACUGAAACCGUUAUUUGACCUUGACCGAGUAUUUAUCAAAAGAUAGGAAAUUCUCAUUUCAAUUAGUCAAAUUUUGUUGUUAUUUUUUAGUCAUUUAUUUAUUUAUUUAUUUAUUUAUUUAAAUUUUAUUUGAAACAUUUCGAGGCAUUUAUUAGGUUUAAAAUAUUUAUUUUAGUAUGUUUUUUCCUUUCAGGUUACGUACAUCUAGGGGGUAACCGGACACUUCCCCGAAUCCACUUUCCCGAAAGACGUUUUCCCGAAUGUCAAAAUCCCGAUUUUUUUUAUCCCGAAUCCAUUUCCCCGAAUCCGUUUCCCCGAAAGACCUACACCCGAAAAUUGAAAGAAAAUUGAGUUUAAAAAAUUUGUUUAUUUUUUAAACUCAGAGAUUGAUGUUAUUACCUAAGGAGCAGAGAGGCAUAAAAAUGAUACUUUUUAUGCGAAAAGUCGAAUUUUUCACUUUAAAACCUUUAAAAUUGAAUCUUUUCUUAUAAAUUUUAAUUUUUAAAAAGAAAAGAAAUAAGCCCUUGCUUUGCUUGGGCCAAAGCUUUUGAAAAUUUUUUUUGAGAAGUAAAAAUAAAAAAUUGUUUUUCUUUAAUCACAUGCCCUUUUUUCGCCUGACCCGCACCCUCCAGAAAGCUUAAGUUCGAGGUAAACUGUCCCCUUUGCCCCACUCUCGAUGGCCGUGAGUAGGUACCCAUUGUGAUUAGAGAAAAAAUUUAAAAUUUUGCUAAUAAUUAUACUAAUAUGAUAAUUAAGAUCAUUUUGAAUUUGUAGGUACCUACCUACUCGUCUAACCGUAAGUAAGUAUGAAUUUUAACCCAGUCAACUAUUUGAAAAGGGGAGAGGUGUCUAGUUUACACUGAGACAUUCGGGUUACAGGCAUUCGGGAUAUGGACAUUCGGGAUUUCGGACGUUCGGGUUACUGGUUCGGGUACACGGCAUUCGGGUAAAUGGAUUCGGGAAUACAGAAAUCGGGAUUUUGUCAUUCGGGAAAAUGUCUUUCGGGGAAGUGGAUUCGGGAAAAUGUCCGGUAAUCCAUUUAGGGUGUCCACACCCUACAGGUUGGGGAGGUCGUGAUAAAUUUGCGAUAUCUGCUAAAUAACGCCAAAAUUCAUGAAUUCCCCUUAUUUUCAUUCUGCCAACUUUUUUUUGCCAAAAUAUCACAAAAAAUUAUGGAGAAAAUACGUCUUCUUGAAUUACAAAUUUUCGAAAACGUUUACCUACUUUCGACUUCGUUUAAACUUAAAAUGAAAUUUUCAGAAUUGAAAAUCAUCGCUCAAAUGUGAAAAAUAAAGUCGUCAACACAAACUUGAAAAAAUUUGAAGUAGGUACCUAGUUUAAAAACAUCAUGGUAGAUCAAGGGGAAGGGUGAUUUUACGUCCAUGGGAAAAAAUUUUAAGGAAAAUCGCGAAUUUUAAAAAUCUGUGGACAGUUGGACACCCUGUACAUUCUUCAAUGUUUAUUCCAUAGCUCUAAGAUCGUUAAUUUGAGAUUUUUAGUAUAAAUUAUUAAUUUAUUAAUCCUUUUGGUGCGAGUAUCAUAACCGUUGUUUGUUUGUUUUCUUUUAAAAAACGCUAUUUCGAAGCGUAUUAAUUUUUGUAUUCGAGUACAUUUUACCAAAAACUACUGUAAAGUGUAAAUAUGUUCAUUGAUUAUUAUACGAAGAUUUUAAAAAUCAA